AAUAAGUGCUCAGUAAACUGCAAUUAUUAACUGAUGAGGUAAGCUAUUGUGUCUGGCCGGUGGUCUUCUAAAAAUCACAGAAUUUAUAAGGGGUAAAUCGUGGAGCUGGUCUACUUUCAGAGCCAACCUUGAGAACUGGCCUACUGACAGUUCAGACAGACAGAAGCGAGGGUUGUAAAGACUUUAGUGCUGGGAGCUUGAAGAAUUAAUAAAAGCGUGUUUUCCUAAGUGGGUUGAGGGUUUUUCUGUCAGAAAGGUUUUUGGACAAGAGGGGAAUGCCCGAGAAGUUUGCGCCCCCUUGAGUUGUUAGGAAAGUGGUACAUGGUUAUAGUUAAAGACAAAGCAACACAGAAAUAUAGGAGAUGAAAAAUGUUUCCCACUUCUACUCUUCCUACCUCUCAGAAGUAAAUACCAUUAAUUUCUUUGAUAACCUUCCAGGUAUUUGUGAAUAGAACAGGUCUUGAAUGCUUAUGUGUAUGUAUUUUUAAUUUCCUCAGAUGGAGCUAUGUAUAUUGAUCUGCACCACAGGUCAUGUGGUGAUGAAUUAGGGACAUCCUUAGAUAUCAGCACCCACUGACUUCAUUCUUUACAAGGCUGCACAGUGUUCCCCUGAAUGGCGGACAGUACUUUAAUUUCCAUCUUGAUGGUCACUUAGGUUGUUGCAAAGAUUUUUCUUGGGAAAUGUGUCAUUAAUCUUUCCUUGACAAAGUAUUUCCUUUUUAUCCAAAGCACUCCUAAGUUAAUGGGAAUAUUUUUAGUCCUUCACACUCCAGAUUAGUAACAGCUUUUGGGGAUGAGCACACUGUUGACUGAGCAAAAACCCAGACAACAUGAGAAUUGCUGUACGCCAAGAAUAUCCAAGCUACAGGGUAGAAUCAGUUCAAGGCUGCUAGGAAAUGGGUCAGUGAAACUUUAGAGAAGAGGUGACAAGGAGCCUAGAACAAGUUAAUGCAGAGCAGUUAGUCAGUACUGGUGAUGGCUGGCCGCUGUCAGUUGUUACCCGGGAAAGAGAUUUGAGAGAGUAUCUGAGCCAGGAGGGAUUAAAAAUGUCAACACUUCUGCUGUGUAUACCGAGGAGGGGUUAGUUCUCGGGGAAGGGGGUCAUUAAUGAAAAAAGCUGAUCCUUGAAAAUUGACUACAUCAUAGUGGUUAUAUUUGAUGGGACAUACCCUGAUGUGAAAACUAAUUUUCUUAGUGUUAUACUGUCAUUUGAAGUUUUUCCUUUUUUAAGUAAAUUAGCACAGGGUAUGGUUUUCCUGUAAAUAACCCUUUUGGACAGGGCCCCUAACCCGAAUGAAGCAAAGCCUUUUUUUUUCCGGCAUUUUACAGGUAUUUGACCUGCCUACUCCCUACCUGCCCCUUCCCCCCCACUUCUUCCCAAUAAAGCUUGUUCGCUAAUCUUGGAGCUGUCAAGCUUCCAAGGAAUUGGAAGUCUGUGCUACUAGGAUUCUGACAAGUUCAAUUUUCCAAACACUGGAGGAACUUAGGAUCUUGAUCUUAACAUAGAGGCUUUUCUUUUCUUUCUCUUUUUUCCUCCCCUGACCCCUUGUACUGGUAACACUUGGUAUUCUUUCAUCAUCAUGAAAGAGAUGGGGGGAGGUAGAAAACACAGGAGAGUAGAUGUAAAUGAGCAUACCUGUGGAUAAAAUGAAAGUUCCUGUGGCCUGGAUUCUCACCUGGCCCUGGUUAACUAGCUCACUGCACACCUGUGGGCAAUACAUGGCUGUUGAGUCUAUAUAAAGAGCUCCCUCCAGUCCUCUGCGGGUAAUAUGGUGGCAGGGCGGCAGGACUGCAAGGCUGUAGGAGAGCCGAGCAGAGGACAGAGGUCUGGAGGAUGGCUGUGUGGGAUGAUUGUGUGGACAGGGGGGCCCAGAGGUAGAGACUGGCUUGCUGCCUGCAGACUCGCUCUGAGUGAAUGGGAUUCUAGUGACUGACCUGCCACCUGGAAAUAAACUUGGGUAUAACCCUUUCACCCCAAGAACGUUUUGCUGUCAAUUUCUUUGGUCACACUGAAUCCAUAGUGAACUCGGCUGGGGCUGAAACCCAUUGGCAAGGCAAUUGGCAUAGUCGGCAGGAUUCAUUGUUGACCAAGGAAAAAGGCUGCCCUUAUGGGAGGGGCACUUCAGCGGGCUGCCCCUGUGAAUGGGGAGACAGUGGAUUGUCCCCCAAUGGAUAUGUGGUCUGAGGUGGCUUGUCUCCUAAAGGACUGGGCCCCACGCCAGGACUGGAAGCAAGUGGAGGUGACACCUGAGGCAGUAGGGGUGGCUCUUGGUAUAGGAAGCAGAUCCUUUGAGAAGCAGAGUGCCCGUGAAGCAGUGGGGACUGUGGGUUGGCUGCUUCUCACAGUAUUAAAAAAGUCUACAGAGACCCAAGAAAUGGUGGCACGAGAACACUAGCUGCAAACUUCUGUGGAUUCCCUGAGGAAGGAGAUGGCAUUGAUGAGGGAGGAGGCAGCACGAGAGCGCUGGCAGCAAGGUGCCAUUGGAGAUGAGACAGCAGCACUGCCAGGUGUUCUGAAGGAGGAAGAGGCCGUCAAGGAAAAAGAUGAACUCCUGAGGGAAGCACAGGUGGAGGUGGCACAAGAAUGUCAGCUGCGAAGCAUUGAGCUGAAGGAGUCUGAGACAUCUUUUUCCAGAGCCCCGGAAUGGAGAGUGAAGGGUAUCCAGACAUGCAAAGAAAUAAAGUCCAGAAUGAUCAAAUAAGGUCACCUGCAAAUGAGAUGAUGGCUGACAAACCAGAAGUCAUCCUAAUAGCAACUCCCCAGGUCCAGGUUCCACAGGAGCCUUCUGAGCUUCCAUCCGAGAACCUUGAUGAAGACCUUCUCAAAGACUUGAGACCAUGCUGUGAAGGAAUCCUCCCAACUCUGCAGUUUCCAGGCAGAGAUUUAGGAAGUUCCGCUACGAGGAUGUGGCUGGGCCCAGGGAUGUCCUCAGACAUCUGCAGGAGCUUGCUGGACAGUGACUGAGACCUGACAUUCACACAAAGGAGCAAAUUGUGGAAAUGCUGAUACAGGAGCAAUUCCAGGUGGUUCUGCCUGAGGAACUCAGAGCUCAGGCACAGAGAUGUCAGCCCGGGGUCAGAAUCACUGGUUAAGUCCCGCUUCUCACUCACCCCAGAUAUGAGAAGUAACCCAAGGUUCUCUUUGUUGAAAGAGCCAACUGCAGUCAUGGAAAAUCUGAACCUUAGUUUUCUUUGAGCUGCCUUUGACUAGUUUUAAUAAUAAUCAGUCAAAACCAUGUCUGGACCUCUUUUUGGCUGAGACAGCUCUGUUUCCUGGGACUGUGAACUCCAGGAAUUUUUCUGCCCUCUUGUGGAGACAAUCAGCUUACUGCUUAUCUUUGCGCUGCUGAAUGCCUCCUUUUCUGCACUUUGUGACAUGAUUUAAUAUAUUUUUAUGUAUCCAAAGGUAAUUGCUUUACCUCUCAGAAUUCUUGAUUCUCCCUGUGGUGGCAUGAAUGGAAGCUUCUGUAACCCCACCACUAACUCAUUUGAGAUGUUCUUAAAAUAUUAAAGAAGUUUGGUCCUUAAUAAAAA